CGCCUGGGGAGUACGGCCGCAAGGUUAAAACUCAAAUGAAUUGACGGGGACCCGCACAAGUAGUGGAGCAUGUGGUUUAAUUCGAAGAUACGCGCAGAACCUUACCAACACUUGACAUGUUCGUGCGACCUAAGAGAUUAGGGUUUCGGUUCGCCGGACGAAACACAGGUGCUGCAUGGCUGUCGUCAGCUCGUGUCGUGAGAUGUUGGGUUAAGUCCCGCAACGAGCGCAACCCUUACUUUUAGUUGCCAUCAUUUAUUGGGCACUCUGAAAGAACUGCCAGUGAUAAGCUGGAGGAAGGUGGGGAUGACGUCAAGUCCUCAUGGCCCUUACGUGUUGGGCUACACACGUGCUACAAUGGCAUUUACAAUAGGAAGCAAGAUGGCGACAUCAAGCAAAUCCUAAAAAAAUGCCUCAGUUCGGAUGGUACUCUGCAACUCGAGUACAUGAAGCUGGAAUUACUAGUAAUCGCGGAUCAGGCGCCGCGGUGAAUGCGUUCCCGGGUCUUGAACACACCGCCCGUC
rnacentral:rRNA from 1 species